UCCCUGGCAGUCUAGCAGUUAGGACUCUGUGCUUUCACUUCUGAGGGCCUAGGUUCAAUCUCUGGUCAGGGAA
rnacentral:tRNA from 1 species